UGGGCUCUUAUUUUGUCUUAUUACAGAUCAGGUUCACUUUCAAUCACAAAUCCUGAAUGCAGGUAGCACACUUGACUUUAGUCUUAUACAAGAUUGAGCUUUAAUAUAUUUUUUCUUUUACUUAUUACUCUAGGUGUUAUUGUGACACAUUCAUGCUUGGAUAGUGUCAGUGGAAGCCAGAACACUGUACCGUCUGGGAUUUGCAUUGUGACCCAAAACGUGUGACAUCUGGAGCUGUUCCUUGCUCUGGGAUACUUCCAGGAUGCUGACCACCUUUUUGAGCAAUUGCUUGAUCUCCUCUGGACCAUCCAGCUU